ensembl:lncRNA
GCCACCUCUUGGACUGACACUGUAAUUACACAUUCUUUUUUGGGAAAUCGAUUCUGGUGCGUUUAAUUCGUGUUUAAAAAUUCGUAACUUUAGUUUUAUGCAGUACAGUAAACAAAUAAGUAAAUAAAAUUAAAGAUACAUAAAAUUCACAAUUUAAUCUAGGCUAAGAGCAAUUGAAUUCAUUCAAACCAACAAACAAACUGCGUGUGGUUAUGUUAUAAAUAUAAAAAUAAUAAAAAAAAACAAAUAAAAUUUUGCGUUUAUCCUGUCCACUUAUCUAUAUAAUGAUGACUCUAUCUAAACUCUUCUCUAUCAGAUAUCCUCCUGUCACUAAACUGUUGCGUCACGUGGUUUUGGCAGUAACUAUGGAAACGUCCACGCAAUGCACUAUCAGCUUCCGUUUUUUACUUUUAUCCACCGCCGUAUAUAGGAUUGAGACGAUGGCCGUAGCUUCUAUUGUUAAGCUUCUUAAACGGACUAAACUGACAUUAUAGUUUGUCUGGCAUCUGAAAGUGGAGAUGAAGCCUCAUACCAGCGUCGUCAGACCUAAACUGAUGUCACUGCCAGCUGAAGCUCCUCUGAUAAUACAGGACGUUACAGACGCGCGAGCCACGCGUCCUUCAAACCUCAUCUCCAGUCCUCCAGUGUCCGGAUGUUCCACGGCUGCUGAAGCCAGGCUGAAUGUUUUCUCAGCGACACGGAAAUGCCCACGCAGUCCGAGCGAUUCCAGGGAUCUAAAGCCUCACAGUGUCAGCUCUAUUACUAAAGGGCCACUGCUUCCAUUUCUAGCCAAAAAUCGCUCAAACGUAACCUCACAAAACAAUGUGUCUGACAGUGAUAUUUCUGGACGGCAUUUCUUAUUUGAUAAACGAUGGAGAAAUGGAACUUACUUCACUAAUGGCAUUGAAGGUGAUGUUCUGAUAAACCACAACCCUACAAAUCCACUGUCUCAGGACUUCCAUGUGUAUCGCUCUCACAAUCUAACCAGAUUCGCCCACCGCAAAGAACUCUGCCUGCGCGACCCAAGACCACUUAUUUGCGGGUCUGAUUAUCUGGCUUCAUUUCCAUCAGUUCUGUUACCAGCCACCACCCCAUCUGUCAGUGGACGGCUCUGUUUAUCACAAAACUAUAAAAACAGAUUAAGGAUGAAAACCAGAGCACGAAAUCUCUUCUCUGAUGGUGCUAACAACAAAACCUGUGGGCCGGUAAUUGUUUUUCAGCCCAAUCGUACCCUGAUCCACACCUGGGUGCCUCGGCCUCUUUUGUUCAGAGGCUCACAGAGAUUUCCUGUCUGGAAGCAGAAACAGUGCGGCAGGAGAGAAUGAAGAGACUCAAAAAGAUCAAUAGGCAGGAUUCUUAAUCGGAGUUCAUUAGCCAAAGAGGAAACACUUGACUCUUGAAAUCACAGCUGUGCCAAGAUGGAGCAAAUAAAAUCAAGGAGAAAAACUUGAGAGGUACA